UACGGAGUGUGCAAGCGUUACUCGGAAUCACUGGGCCUAAAGCGCGCGUAGGCGGGUUUCCAAGUCGGUUGUGAAAUCCCUCAGCUCAACUGAGGAACUGCAUCCGAUACUGUUUGUCUUGAGGACGAGAGGGGAGAGUGGAACUUCUGGUGAAGCGGUGAAAUGCGUAGAUAUCAGAAGGAACGCCGGUGGCGAAAGCGACUCUCUGGCUCGUAUCUGACGCUGAGGCGCGAAAGCUUGGGUAGCAAACGGG
rnacentral:rRNA from 1 species